AACGAACGCUGGCGGCAUGCCUAACACAUGCAAGUCGAACGAGACCUCCGUGUCUAGUUGCGCUCGGGUGCGUAACGCGUGGGAAUCUGCCCUUGGGUUCGGAAUACUUCGCUGUAAGGCGUGCUAAUACCGGAUGAUGUAGUAAGUCAAAGGAUUUAUCGCCCAAGGGUGAGCCCGAGUUGGUUUAGCUUGUUGGUGAGGUAAAGGCUGAUCAAGGCGUCGAUCGAUAGCUGGUCUGAGAGAAUGAUCAGCCACACUGGGGGUGAGACACGGCCGAGAAUCCUACGGGAGGGAGCGGAGGGGGAUAUUGGACAAUGGGCGAGGGGCUGAUCCAGCUAUGCCGCGUAAGUGAUGAUGGCGGUAGGGAAGUGAAGCUCUUUUACCCGGGGUGAUAAUGACGGUACCGGGAGAAUAAGCUCCGGCUAACUCCGUG
rnacentral:rRNA from 1 species